AUUGAACGCUGGCGGCAUGCUUUACACAUGCAAGUCGAACGGUAACAGGCCUUCGGGUGCUGACGAGUGGCGAACGGGUGAGUAAUGCAUCGGAACGUGCCCAGAGGUGGGGGAUAACGCAGCGAAAGCUGUGCUAAUACCGCAUGUGAUCUGAGGAUGAAAGCGGGGGACCAGGCAGCAAUGUUUGGCCUCGCGCCUUUGGAGCGGCCGAUGUCAGAUUAGGUAGUUGGUGGGGUAAAGGCCUACCAAGCCGACGAUCUGUAGCUGGUCUGAGAGGACGACCAGCCACACUGGGACUGAGACACGGCCCAGACUCCUACGGGAGGCAGCAGUGGGGAAUUUUGGACAAAGGGCGCAAGCCUGAUCCAGCAAUGCCGCGUGCGGGAAGAAGCCCUUCGGGUUGUAAACCGCUUUUGUACGGAACGAAAAGGCUCUGGCUAAUACCUGGGGCUGAUGACGGUACCGUAAGAAUAAGCACCGGCUAACUACGUG
rnacentral:rRNA from 1 species